ACUCCUGCGGGAGGCAGCAGUGGGGAAUUUUGGACAAUGGGCGAAAGCCUGAUCCAGCAAUGCCGCGUGAGUGAAGAAGGCCUUCGGGUUGUAAAGCUCUUUUGUCAGGGAAGAAACGGUGAAAGCUAAUAUCUUUUGCUAAUGACGGUACCUGAAGAAUAAGCACCGGCUAACUACGUGCCAGCAGCCGCGGUAAUACGUAGGGUGCAAGCGUUAAUCGGAAUUACUGGGCGUAAAGCGUGCGCAGGCGGUUUUGUAAGUCUGAUGUGAAAUCCCCGGGCUCAACCUGGGAAUUGCAUUGGAGACUGCAAGGCUAGAAUCUGGCAGAGGGGGGUAGAAUUCCACGUGUAGCAGUGAAAUGCGUAGAUAUGUGGAGGAACACCGAUGGCGAAGGCAGCCCCCUGGGUCAAGAUUGACGCUCAUGCACGAAAGCGUGGGGAGCAAACAGGAUUAGAUACCCCUGUAGUCCCAUG
rnacentral:rRNA from 1 species